GUUAGAGGAGGCAGAAGAGUUGAAAUUUCAAUAUACGAUAUUGUUGUUGGUGAUGUUGUACCCCUCAAUAUUAGUGAUCAUGUCCCUGCUGAUGGAAUUCUAAUCUCUGGUCAUUCACUUGCACUAGAUGAAUCUAGUAUGACAGGAGAGAGUGAUAUUGUUCACAAGGAUGCCAAACGACCUUUUCUAAUGUCUGGCUGCAAAGUGGCAGAUGGAAGUGGGACUAUGCUGGUAA